rnacentral:misc_RNA from 1 species
AGCCAUUAAACCAAUCAAUCAAUCGUGUUUUCCUAUUUUCGCGCCAAUACAUUGUAAAAUAUUUCAAGAUAUUAAAAUGGAGUGGAGCUAUAAAGAGAACUGAAUCGCUGUGAUUGCGUUCACAAAAAAAAGAUCUGGCCAUCUACGUAGUUUUCGUACGAAAAAGGCGAUCAUAGAAGUAAGGGAAAGAAUUCGCAGAAAUCCUGUCCAAAAACAAAAGAUCUCGGGAGAUGAAGAUAGCACCUCGCGUAUUUUAAACGAUGACUUAGGACUUGCAGUCUAUAAGACACACUGGUAAACUUUGUUAACGGAUGAGGAUAUUUUAACAAAAUGACCGUUUUUAUGCUCAAAGCUCUGAGGAAGAUUCCCUAUUAGUUAAUAGAGUACAACGUGGG